UCCUCAGCGAACCCGGCGCAGCGCAGAGCGGAAGUGACGAAGGCGGAUGCGACGGAAAAGAGGGCCCUUCCCGGGUCGGCGCUCAAGUUACGUCAGGCCCGUGGGGCUGCCUUUUAGAUGCCUGCAUCCAUGGGGGGCGGGGGUUGGUUUCCGGGAUAGACGAUCAGGCGGAAUUUCCAAGGAGGGAAUAAUGAAGGACGCCCCAUGACGAAGAUGCCCAUUUCAAGGAGGAACAAAACCUGGGCGCCAGCAAGCAUUUUCGAGGGAGCCUUGCGCUAGGCGCUUCUGAGACUAGUGGGCGGGACAGCCUCUGCGGAGGCCCCGUUUCCGGGGCGUCUACGGAAGGGGCGGGCACUUCCGGUCAGGGAGGGACGCGGGGAGCGGGCCCAGUGUAGCCGAGUGGUGUGUGUCUGUGGAUCCCAGGCUGUGAUGGCUGGUAGAGUGUUACGUCUCCUAGUUGUGCUGGAAGCGGUUUCUCGGACUCAUUCUCUGUAACCGGGCGAGGAGGGGUGGCCUUUAGGGUUCGCCUUGAUCGGAGGGGUCCGGUUCCUGCGCUCCCACCCGGGCCGCAUAAUCUCUCCGAGCACCUUUCCUUCCUCUUGGUUAUGGCUUGACGAACCCUUAAGGACUCGUCGGCCAACGUUGUGGCACAUUCAGGAGAAGGACGAGGACCCUUUACUCGAGGGGAGUAAAGACAGUACUUGGAAGAUGACGGGUCUAGUCGUCCUUGACUUGCUGCUCAAAGUGCGUGGAAACUGGCAGAACCUCAGGCUCCCCUCCAGAUGGAAUUCAAAUCCACAUUGUAAACAUGCUCAGAGUGAAGCCAGACUUCCCGUCCUGCCAGCCUCACCCCUUUGGCAGCUGGUACGAACAACAGCAGAGUGGUUAUCCUGUCUACAGCUCCGGCUGCGGGGCGGGUGGAAAUGGACCCAACCUUUAUUCUGUGUGUGAGACCUCUGUUUACCCGGCUGAGACUUCGCUUCCACCCAAGGAAACCACACCUCUAGCUGAAAACCAAGAUGAAGAUUCACUCGAAGAUCCGAAUCUCCACUUGAAUAUUGAAGAACUCAACAAAGAGUUUAUGGUGAAAAGUGAAGAGCUCUACCAAUCUCUCAUGAAUUGCCACUGGCAGCCUCUCGAUACAGUGCACUCAGAAAUCCCAGACAAGACCCCACAAGAGCAAGAUGCUUAUUAAGCUACCCAACUAACAUGUAGAUUGUGUCUUGUUUUGUUUCUGUUUUAAAAAUAGUUCUCCGAGGAAGGCACUGGAUUGUGUAUGUAAAUAUAGAUUCCCAGGACUUAAACUUGAUUGAGAUGACAGAAUGUAAUGUAAAUAAACUUUACCAGCACGUUCA
rnacentral:lncRNA from 1 species